AAUUCCAGUGACAUGCAAUUUUUGUAAUGGCAAAAUAUUUGUAAGAAACUGCAAACAAAUGCAAAUGUGCAGUCGAUGUGUGGAAUGCGACAACAUUAUACUCGAUAAUUUCAAUUAUUGCGAGUGUUGUGGCUUAGAAACAAUUAAGCAGAUAAGAAUAAACAAGGCUCGGGCACUAUCAAAUCUUUUUCCUAAAAAGCAAAAAGUUGCUUCUGCUGCAUCACAAGAUUUAUUUGAUGACUUUCAGGUUGAUAACGAAGAGUUGACGCUAAUCGAGGAUUCAUUGAUGAUUGAUGAUGCUUCUUCGGACAACAAGAAAAAACAGCUACUGUCAGUCAGCAGUGAUGAUGCUUCUUCGAACAACAAGGAAAAACAGCUGCUGUCAGUCAGCAGUGAUUUUAUUUCUUUAAAAGAAGAAGAGAAAGAAAACAUAUCAAAUGGCGGACAGACCCCCGAAAAAACGUAAAUAUUCAAGCAGGUUUAGUACAGAAUAUCAGCCCCCCAGGACUAACUAUUUAUAUUUAGCACUUUCAAAUAACACCAUUCAAGUAUCAGUACAUUCAGUUGGUUCUAUGAUUUAUGAAUGUGUUCAAUGUCAAGCACUUCAUUUUUUAGGUGAAAAAAUUAAAAAUCAUUUUAAACAUUGUUGUCAUAAUGGGAAGGUAUACAUAGAUCCAGAAAUAUUAUUAGAUUUAUACAAAGGCAAUACGUCUGAAGCUAAUCAUUUUAAGGCUAAUAUACGACUAUAUAAUUCAGCAUUUGCAAUGGCAUCCAUUAAGUCAAACUUGAACACAUUCCCUCCAGGAUUUUUCACUUAUAGGGUAC